rnacentral:lncRNA from 1 species
UUUUUUAUUUUUUUGUGGCCUCUUUGGCUAUUUCUUUUUAUCUCUCAUUUGUCCUCUUUGGGAUCUUUUGCUUGUGCUCUUUGGGAUCUUUUCCUCACUUAAGGGAAACACUCUAUGUUUUACAUGAAGAAAAAGAAAAAUCAUCACACUUUAUAAGAAGAACUCAACAUAAAGACAAGUGAAAACUAUCAUUAUGUAUGCAAAUGUAUGCCUCUG